rnacentral:rRNA from 1 species
UACAGAGGUCCCAAGCGUUGUUCGGAUUCACUGGGCGUAAAGGGUGCGUAGGUGGUGAGGUAAGUCGGAUGUGAAAGCUCGGAGCUCAACUCCGAAAUGGCAUUGGAAACUACCUUGCUCGAGGGUUGGAGGGGGGGGGACUGGAAUGCUUGGUGUAGCAGUGAAAUGCGUAGAUAUCAAGCGGAACACCAGUGGCGAAGGCGAGUCCCUGGACAACUCCUGACACUGAGGCACGAAAGCUAGGGGAGCAAACAGG